UACGUAGGGUGCGAGCGUUGUCCGGAAUUAUUGGGCGUAAAGAGCUCGUAGGCGGUGUGUCGCGUCGGCCGUGAAAACCUGGGGCUCAACUCUGGGCGUGCGGUCGAUACGGGCAUCACUUGAGUUCGGCAGGGGAGACUGGAAUUCCUGGUGUAGCGGUGAAAUGCGCAGAUAUCAGGAGGAACACCGGUGGCGAAGGCGGGGUCUCUGGGCCGAUACUGACGCUGAGGAGCGAAAGCAUGGGUAGCGAACAGG
rnacentral:rRNA from 1 species